AUGUCACGUCGAGGUACUGCAGAAAAAAGAACUGCAAAAUCCGAUCCAAUUUUUCGUAAUCGAUUAGUUAACAUGGUGGUUAACCGUAUUAUGAAAGACGGAAAAAAAUCAUUGGCUUAUCAAAUUCUCUAUCGAGCCGUGAAAAAGAUUCAACAAAAGACAGAAAUAAAUCCACUAUUGGUUUUACGUCAAGCAAUACGUAGAGUAACUCCCAAUAUAGGAGUAAAAACAAGACGUAAUAAAAAAGGAUCGACGCGGAAAGUUCCGAUUGAAAUAGGAUCUAAAAAAGAAGAGCACUUGCCAUUCGUUGGUUAUUAG
rnacentral:rRNA from 1 species